CCCUGGCAGCCGCGCGGAGAGGAGGGCAGCAGAGGAGACCGAAAACUAGGCUUGCCUGGGGUAGUCCAGCCGUAGUGGUGGGCGGGUGCGCGGUUCCUGGAUGUCCUGUAUUACCUGGUGACCUGACGACGCAGGUGGACGUGACUGGUCCCCUGACACUGAGUGCAUGCGGUGAUCCUGGUGGUCCUCUUGCUGGUGGGAGCCGUCAACAGAAGGAUCCAGGCAAAUUUCUGAAAGUGUGGCCUCGGUGAAAGAGAGCUUCAAGUUGGAUAAUUGAACAAACCAGUAACAGAAGAAGGUGAGGGAUCCUGGCUAUAAAUCACAAAGAACCAGGAGCCAAUUAAAUCAAAGUGAUCAACAGACCUCAGAAGAAGGAUCAAAGAGAAGUCAAGAAAAAAUUACACGUAAGGGGACCUGGAGAGUCCAUUUGAAGUCCAUCAACAGACAGGCGAGUGACAGACCAGGAAGCAAUUGUAGAGCCAUCAACCUAACUGCCUGUGAAAUCUACCCUGGACCCAUACUCUGCCACCCGGAGAAUAUCAUCUCUAGAGCGGCGCACCUGGGAACUGUCAGUCAUCCAAGCCCCAAGAAUUAAGAGGUUCUGUCAAAGGGAAGCCCAAGUCAGAGCAAUUCCUAUUAUAGAAAGAAAGAUAGAAAGAAGAAGAUCAAUCCAACAUAGCAGAGAAAUUCUCUAGAGAUUUCAAAGCUGAGAAGAAUUUGUCAUUGGAUCUUUGAUUGAUGGGUACUUGAACAACAACAAAAAAAGACGAACAAUUUAAAAAAGCAAAGCAAAAUAAUAAUGAAUAUAUUAGUAUUUGACUCAAAAACAGUACCUAGAACAGAGGACUUAUUGAUCCAUGUUUUUUAAUAAGGCUCACUGUUUGAGAGGAUCCACAGGGAUAGAUGAGAAACCUUAGCCUUGGAUCCUCUAAGAAGACAGCACUUAAAUAAAACAAUCCACAAUUCAAAACAAAAACAAAAACAGCUGAGUUUUUAGGCCUUUAUUUGAUAAUAAAUUCAACUGUGGGCAGUUGACUAAUUUCGUUAGUCACAAAACUCAACAAAACUAGAUGAAAGGAUGAGUAUUUUUUUGUUUUUUAGAAUUUCCUUUGCUUCCUUUUUCCUCUCUCCCUCUAUUUUCCAACUCCCCCUUCUGUUCUCUCUUCCCUUUCCUUCUCAUGUCUUUAC